rnacentral:rRNA from 1 species
GAUGAACGCUAGCGGCAGGCUUAAUACAUGCAAGUCGAGGGGGCAGCAAUGUCACCGGCGAACGGGUGCGUAACACGUAUGCAACCUACCUAUAUCAGGGGGAUAGCCCGAGGAAACUCGGAUUAAUACCGCAUAACAUUAGGAUCGGCAUCGAUUUUAAUUGAAAGAUUUAUUGGAUAUAGAUGGGCAUGCGUAGGAUUAGCUAGUUGGUAAGGUAACGGCUUACCAAGGCUACGAUCCUUAGGGGCUCUGAGAGGAGUAUCCCCCACACUGGCACUGAGUUACGGGCCAGACUCCUACGGGAGGCAGCAGUAGGGAAUAUUGGGCAAUGGGCGAAAGCUUGACCCAGCCAUGCCGCGUGCAGGAAGACGGCCCUCUGGGUUGUAAACUGCUUUUGAAUGGGAAGAAAGGUAUGCUUGCGAGCGUAAUUGACGGUACCAUUAGAAUAAGCCACGGCUAACUAUGUGCCAGCCGCCGCAGUAA